rnacentral:piRNA from 1 species
UGCAUAUGACCGUUUGCCUGCACGUGCAC